AACACUAGAACUACCCAGCAUUCAAUAUGGUUGAUAUGUAAUUAUGUAAGAAUAGAUUUUUCUCAGUUUCUUCGAUUCAUUAUAGUAUUAAAGUGAAACUAUUUUACAAAUCGUGUAGGAUAUUUAAUAUUUCUAAGAUAUAAAUAAUAGCGAAACAAGAAAACUGAAAGCAGUCAUUUUGAGUAGUACACAGUCGAGUUCUAACGUUAAUAAUAUAAUUAAUUAACAAAUUGACAUAUUUAAUUUUUUAUUGCAAAACGACGAACGACAUUAAAUAAUCAAUCAACUUGAACUUCUGUACACGCAGGCGUUCACGUUCAACGUCAUUGUAACUUCAAAGUUACAAAGUAUAUUCGUUUCAAUAAAAUUAUUGAAGCUAUUGAAUACAUUGUUAAUUUCGGUUCGUACGUUGAUAUUUAUUAAAUUCGUACUGCACGAAUUUUGUUACAACGAAACAAAAUUCGGCCAAUAGAGGGUUAAGAGGUCAGAUAAUUUUCGAAAUAAUUCUACGUGGAAACGCGGCUACUUAUUCGGCGGCGGACGAUACCGGUUUAACAUCAAGCUGCGCCUUCCUAAUUAGGCAGUUAUUUACACAGCGAAUUCGUGUCAGUUAAUCUCUUUAGCGAGCGCGCAUCGCGGCGUCCCUAGCAGGCGAACGGGAACAACAAGCACAAUCGAACAGCCCGGAAAUCAAUUGGUACUCGUCGGGCUAGAACUAAGCUCCGGAUCUUGAAGGGUUCCACAGAUGCUGGCGACGCUACCAGAAGUCAGAACGGCCAAAUUCUGAUUUCUCGUUCACAAUGAUCAACCUUUUGCGGCGAAUCUUCGAAACGGUAUCGAGACAUGGAGACAGGAUUGCGUAAUCAGUUACGCCCCGCGAUCAUCAUCUUAUCGUCGUCCCAAGGAGCUCCACACCGGGACUGACACUGAACUUCAAACGUGGAUCGCCGAGUAUUUUUAGGUCGACGAUGGAAACCGACCGGCACCGGUAUCGAACGUGCGCUCGUUAUCGCGCGAAUUCGUUACGAUUCAAUCGGCGGCCGGAUAAGGGAAGAAAUCAUUCCGCUAUCUCGAGAUAAUCUUCCCGACGACUCGGCCCGACGCGAAUUACAUGAAUAAUUCACGGACGGUGCGCGGCGUGCAUCGACGUGAAAUAUUCUUGAAACAAUAUCGCCGCCGAGACUCGCCGCGUUUAUCGAAUUCUUUUCCAUUGCUAUCUGCGGAGAUAGAUGAUAUAUGUAUAUAUUCCCAUGGAGCAGUGCCUCUCAACCGCGUGGACCUAUUGUGCACGUCGAUUCCUUGGAGAAA